UACGUAGGGUGCAAGCGUUGUCCGGAAUUAUUGGGCGUAAAGAGCUCGUAGGCGGUUUGUCGCGUCGAAUGUGAAAACCCGGGGCUCAACCCCGGGCCUGCAUUCGAUACGGGCAGACUAGAGUUCGGUAGGGGAGUCUGGAAUUCCUGGUGUAGCGGUGAAAUGCGCAGAUAUCAGGAGGAACACCGGUGGCGAAGGCAGCCUUCUGGGCCAACACUGACGCUCAUGCACGAAAGCGUGGGGAGCAAACAGG
rnacentral:rRNA from 1 species